UACAGGGGGGGGCAAGCGUUGUUCGGAAUUACUGGGCGUAAAGGGCUCGUAGGCGGCCAACUAAGUCCGACGUGAAAUCCCUCAGCUUAACUGGGGAACUGCGUCUGAGACUGGAUGGCUUGAGUGCAGGAGAGGAACGCGGAAUUCCAGGUGUAGCGGUGAAAUGCGUAGAUAUCUGGAGGAACACCGGUGGCGAAGGCGGCGUUCUGGACUGCAACUGACACUGAGGAACGAAAGCCAGGGGAGCAAACGGG
rnacentral:rRNA from 1 species